rnacentral:lncRNA from 1 species
UCGUGGUCAACAAGCAUAAUCUGAAGAAUCCAGGAACUCCCAAAGGAUUCUAAGAGGUCACAAAGACUGAUGCCAUCCGGCCCCAAAACUUCUACAGGACUGUCAAGAGAAAAAAUACCUGGAUCACUCAGGUGCCCUCUCCUCAGUCUUCCUCUCUCCAGGCUUGAAGAACUACAGCCAUUUCCAAGUUCUAAAAGGACAGCUAGGGGAGUUAUUUGUUUGUUUAUUUGUUUGCUUUGAUUUCAGAAAGAUGCGAACUCCAGGAUCUCUUGAGAGGCUGCCAGAGCCAGCAGCCCCAAGGAUACUUCCAACAGUGGGCAUUGGUGCAAUUCUAUAAAAAGAAACCAGAAACCAUUUAAAUGUGUGAGGAAGAAGCACUUCCAGAUGUUUGAGGAAAGAUGUAAGAUAGCAAGAUUCGUUAGGGCAGAUAAUCCAGGCACCUGCUCCCCCAUGAUGGAAGCCAAAGAUGUCCCUGAAGCCACCUCCAGCUGCAUCCUUUCCUGCAUUGCCCACAUGGUCACAACUCGGCUGAUUAAACUCCCUCUCAGAACUUUGGUCUUGAGCAAAGGGAUUCGAGGGUGAAGGGACUGAAGGUCUGUCCUUCCAAAGUGGUAUGUGAGCAAAUGACUAAAGUUUACCUAGCCCUUCCAAGCACUUUUUUUCUUAAUUUUUAUUUAUUUGUUUAUUUUUUGAGACAGAGUCUCCGCUCUGUUGCCUAGGCUGGAGUGCAGUGGCAUGAUCUUGGUUCACUACAACUUCCACCUCCCGGGUUCAAGGGAUUCUCCUGCCUCAGCCUCCCCAGUAGCUGAGAUAACAGGCAUACGCCACCAUGUCUGGCUAAUUUUUUUGUAUUUUUAGUAGAGAUGGGGUUUCACCAUGUUGGCCAGGCUGGUCUCGAACUCCUGGCCUCAAGGAAUCCACCUGCCUCGGCCUCCCAAAGUGCUGGGAUUACACGUGUGAGCCACUGUGCCCGGCCCCAAGUACUUGUUACACAUCAACUCAUUUAAACUUCACAGUAAUACUGAGAAGAGUGAUAUCAUCGCCAUCUUACAGAUCAGAAAACUGAGGCAGAAAGCUGUUAAAAGCCUUCCC